CCCUAUACGGGAAAAGAAACCAACAGGGAUUGCCUCAGUAACGGCGAGUGAAGCGGCAAAAGCUCAAAUUUGAAAUCCCCCGGGAAUUGUAAUUGAAGAGAUUUGGGUCCGGCCGGCGGGGGUCAAGUCCACUGGAAAGUGGCGCCACAGAGGGUGACAGCCCCGUGAACCCCUUUAACGCCCUCAUCCCAGAUCUCCAAGAGUCGAGUUGUUUGGGAAUGCAGCUCUAAGUGGGUGGUAAAUUCCAUCUAAAGCUAAAUACCGGCGAGAGACCGAUAGCGAACAAGUACAGUGAUGGAAAGAUGAAAAGCACUUUGAAAAGAGAGUGAAAAAGUACGUGAAAUUGUUGAAAGGGAAGGGCUUGCAAGCAGACACUUAACUGGGCCAGCAUCGGGGCGGCGGGGAGCAAAACCACCGGGGAAUGUACCUUUCGAGGAUUAUAACCCCGGUCCUUACUCCCUUACCGCCCCGAGGCCUGCAAUCUAAGGAUGCUGGCGUAAUGGUUGCAAGUCGCCCGUUG
rnacentral:rRNA from 2 species